rnacentral:rRNA from 1 species
GAUGAACGCUGGCGGCGUGCCUAAUACAUGCAAGUCGAGCGAACGGACGAGAAGCUUGCUUCUCUGAUGUUAGCGGCGGACGGGUGAGUAACACGUGGAUAACCUACCUAUAAGACUGGGAUAACUUCGGGAAACCGGAGCUAAUACCGGAUAAUAUUUUGAACCGCAUGGUUCAAAAGUGAAAGACGGUCUUGCUGUCACUUAUAGAUGGAUCCGCGCUGCAUUAGCUAGUUGGUAAGGUAACGGCUUACCAAGGCAACGAUGCAUAGCCGACCUGAGAGGGUGAUCGGCCACACUGGAACUGAGACACGGUCCAGACUCCUACGGGAGGCAGCAGUAGGGAAUCUUCCGCAAUGGGCGAAAGCCUGACGGAGCAACGCCGCGUGAGUGAUGAAGGUCUUCGGAUCGUAAAACUCUGUUAUUAGGGAAGAACAUAUGUGUAAGUAACUGUGCACGUCUUGACGGUACCUAAUCAGAAAGCCACGGCUAACUACGUGCCAGCAGCCGCGGUAAUACGUAGGUGGCAAGCGUUAUCCGGAAUUAUUGGGCGUAAAGCGCGCGUAGGCGGUUUUUUAAGUCUGAUGUGAAAGCCCACGGCUCAACCGUGGAGGGUCAUUGGAAACUGGAAAACUUGAGUGCAGAAGAGGAAAGUGGAAUUCCAUGUGUAGCGGUGAAAUGCGCAGAGAUAUGGAGGAACACCAGUGGCGAAGGCGACUUUCUGGUCUGUAACUGACGCUGAUGUGCGAAAGCGUGGGGAUCAAACAGGAUUAGAUACCCUGGUAGUCCACGCCGUAAACGAUGAGUGCUAAGUGUUAGGGGGUUUCCGCCCCUUAGUGCUGCAGCUAACGCAUUAAGCACUCCGCCUGGGGAGUACGACCGCAAGGUUGAAACUCAAAGGAAUUGACGGGGACCCGCACAAGCGGUGGAGCAUGUGGUUUAAUUCGAAGCAACGCGAAGAACCUUACCAAAUCUUGACAUCCUUUGACAACUCUAGAGAUAGAGCCUUCCCCUUCGGGGGACAAAGUGACAGGUGGUGCAUGGUUGUCGUCAGCUCGUGUCGUGAGAUGUUGGGUUAAGUCCCGCAACGAGCGCAACCCUUAAGCUUAGUUGCCAUCAUUAAGUUGGGCACUCUAAGUUGACUGCCGGUGACAAACCGGAGGAAGGUGGGGAUGACGUCAAAUCAUCAUGCCCCUUAUGAUUUGGGCUACACACGUGCUACAAUGGACAAUACAAAGGGCAGCGAAACCGCGAGGUCAAGCAAAUCCCAUAAAGUUGUUCUCAGUUCGGAUUGUAGUCUGCAACUCGACUACAUGAAGCUGGAAUCGCUAGUAAUCGUAGAUCAGCAUGCUACGGUGAAUACGUUCCCGGGUCU